UAUGAUCUGAAGUCAGGUGGGAUUACCCGC
rnacentral:rRNA from 1 species